UACGUAGGGGGCAAGCGUUAUCCGGAAUCACUGGGCGUAAAGGGUGCGUAGGCGGCUUAGUAAGUCAGAGGUGAAAGGCUACGGCUUAACCGUAGUAAGCCUUUGAAACUGCUGAGCUUGAGUGCAGGAGAGGCAAGUGGAAUUCCUAGUGUAGCGGUGAAAUGCGUAGAUAUUAGGAGGAACACCAGUGGCGAAGGCGACUUGCUGGACUGUAACUGACGCUGAGGCACGAAAGCGUGGGGAGC
rnacentral:rRNA from 1 species